CCUCUACCCCACACACCUCUAGUGACACCUCUACGUCUCAUAGCCAAAAAUAUAAGUAACUCUAAAAUCAUGGUAGGGAUAGUCCUUGGCCACAUGUCUAACCUCAUCACAUACAAAGCAAACUCUACAACUAUACUCAAUAGGAAGAAGUUUGACUGAGCUCGAAUGGCCACUUAAAGCUGCUGAACCAAGAAACAUACUACUGAACACUACAAGGCUACAUGCACAGGUCUACUAUAAUACCCAUGGAAAUCUCUAAAAUCUCUAC
rnacentral:lncRNA from 1 species